GACGAACGCUGGCGGCGUGCUUAACACAUGCAAGUCGAACGAGAACGGGUUAUAGCUUGCUAUAAUUGUCAGCUAAGUGGCGCACGGGUGAGUAAUGUAUAGGUAAUAUGCCUCUUACUAAGGGAUAACAAAUGGAAACGUUUGCUAAUACCUUGUACUCCUUAUUAACAUAAGUUAAUAAGGGAAAGAUUUAUUGGUAAGAGAUUAGCCUGUAUUGUAUCAGUUAGUUGGUGGGGUAAUGGCUUACCAAGACUAUGACACAUAACUGGUUUGAGAGGAUGAUCAGUCACACUGGAACUGAGACACGGUCCAGACUCCUACGGGAGGCAGCAGUGGGGAAUAUCGCACAAUGGACGAAAGUCUGAUGCAGCAACGCCGCGUGGAGGAUGACACAUUUCGGUGCGUAAACUCCUUUUAUAUGAGAAGAUAAUGACGGUAUUAUAUGAAUAAGCACCGGCUAACUCUGUGCCAGCAGCCGCCGUAA
rnacentral:rRNA from 1 species